GCCGCCAGCGCCGCUGGCUCCCUUCGCCCCCCAGGCUUUGCUUCCUUCCAGAAGGGCUGCAGGGCUCACUGAGCCCGAGCAAAGCAGCCGGACUCUUGCUGCAGCGCCCAGCACCUGGCAGCAGGGCCCCUGCCACCUGCCAGCCCCAGGGCAAAGGAAGCAGAGCCUGAGCGUGCAGAGAGCAGAGUUCAAGUGACAGCUGCCCAGGAACCCCCAAAGGCUCAUCUUCUCAUGGGCAAAUGCCCGGCAACAGGAUGGACCCCUGGCUGGGCACCGGAGGCCUGAAAGCUGCCAAACGUCUCCAGUGCCUUGCGGCGGAACGGGCCGGGGAGGACCCACACAGGACCGGACUGGACAGGACAGCACCCACCGGCCCGUCCAGGCGACGGCCGCCUCCCACGCGGCUCCCCUCUACGUCUCUUCCUGCAUCUCUUCCCCACACGUCUCCUCCUGUGACCCCCUUCACGGCCCCCCUUCCUGACCCCUUCCCAGAUGCCCCAUUCAGGAAGUCUGGGGUGGGGAAAUCUGCAUGUGGGAGCACUGCAGGGCCCCUCCGGCUUGGGGCGUGCACCCCACGGCCAGCCGUGCACCCCACGCCCCAACGCCUGGCAGGCAGCUCCGCGGCCCUCCCCCUCCCACAGGCUCAAAGCCACCUGCAGUUUUCCGCCCCUGCUCAGGGCUGAGGACUGAGGUUUUUCCUGGCUUCUGGGGUUUCCGUCUUCCUCCUCGGGACAUUGCCCCUCUCCCCAAACCCUUUCACGCCUCCUGCUGGAUUUCCGCCUGCUUCUCCCUUCCCUGCAGAUGCUGGUGUCUCGGGCCUUAGAUGUUACAGUGCCUCUCCUGUCUGUCAGCGCCCACGACUUUGCCCAAGGGGAUGUUUCCUCGCCCAGAACACCCUAAUUUAGAAUAGUCAGAUUCAUCAAGAGGUCUUGGGGGGCAUUUCUGUGCCUUUGAAGCUGUCUCGGCCGCACCGUUUGCCCGGUAUCUUCUUCCGGCUGCCGGUUGCUCUGGCCUCCAGCGCUCGCUCGGGGCAGCCAGAGCCCCUGCGCACACCCCCAGGGCAGUGGAGAAGUGCAGUUCCCUUCGCCCUCGACCAGCAGGCUCGGCGCUGGGCCACACAGCUCCGGGUCUGCCUGCGGGUCUCUUCUGUUGCUUAUUGUCUGUGCCAAGCCACGGUUUUUCGGAUGACUGGUCUUGCACAUGCGGUAGGGAAAAGCAGGCAGGCCCUCGCGUCUGCCCCCCUCGGCGCCUGAAUGCGUGAUAUAGUAACUUCCCCAGGGAGUGAAGUUAAAAGAGGCAUCUUUUAAAAUGAGGACCAAAAAACGUCAUGAGUCAGUGGCCGCCCGCCACACCCCUGUGGGCCUCCCGUUUACCCUGGUACCCAGCACUUGCCAAGACAAUGUUCAGUGUCAGGCUUCCGGUCUCGCUGGCACCCUGCUGGCGGGACCGUCCCCUUCGGCCGAGACUUGCCGCCACGCGCACCGAGACUGCCAUCCUCUCUCCUGGGCCUGUCUUUCCUGACGCCGACCCUCUAGUCUGGCUUCCUGUGCCUCCACGCCGUUCCCACUUCCUCUUGUGCAGCUUGCCCCAAGCUCCAACUGACCUCCCCA